UACGUAGGGUGCGAGCGUUAAUCGGAAUUACUGGGCGUAAAGCGUGCGCAGGCGGUUAUAUAAGACAGAUGUGAAAUCCCCGGGCUCAACCUGGGCACUGCAUUUGUGACUGUAUAGCUAGAGUACGGUAGAGGGGGAUGGAAUUCCGCGUGUAGCAGUGAAAUGCGUAGAUAUGCGGAGGAACACCGAUGGCGAAGGCAAUCCCCUGGGCCUGUACUGACGCUCAUGCACGAAAGCGGGGGGCGCAAACAGGAUGCGAUACCCGUGUAGACC
rnacentral:rRNA from 1 species